CAAACUUUUUUUUUUCCCCUUCUGGAGACUUUCAGCUCUAAAAUCCAGAGUCUACAAUCUCACUGCAACAAAUUAAGGAAACAUACUUUUCCCCCUCAAAGCCAAGACUGUAAUCUUUGGAUUGACUCAUCUUAGUUCAACUCCAAGAUAUAAACCACCAGAAACUGAGAAGAGGUCUUUUUUGCGUUUUGACUUUAGGAACUAUUUUGAGACAGGAUGUCAUUCUAUGGCCCAGACUGACCUCAAAUUCUCUGUGACCUUCCUCGGCCUCCCAUAGUGCUACAGGUGUGAGCCUCCAGGCAAAGAAUUCCUUUCAUUAGAAUUCUUGCUUCUAAACCAUCAAGUUUUAAACUGUGGUGAUUCCUGAACUAAAAAGUACAAGGAAGUAGGUUUCAAAGUGUAAAGGCCAGGAGAGGUGUGGUGAGGCACGCCUGUGACCUCAGCUCUGGAAGGAGGCUGAGGCCAGAGAAUUGAGUUCACCCUGGUGUACAUAAUGGGUUCUAGGCCAGCCUCGGCUACAAUUUCAGACCCUGUUCCAAAAACAACAAAAAACUAAGUGGAGUCCGUUGUGAGGGGACCUAAAAGAAGCGGUGCUUAAUACCCGUAAGUUAAAUCCCUAAAUUUUUUUAUCAGUAGUGGAAUGCUAAGCACUUUGCCCAGUGGCCGCAAGUUUGGAGAGGGUUAAUACCAAUCUUUCACCGUCCUGCACAGGUUUAUGGAAUUGCUGGACUCCGUUCCUGUUUUCUCCAUUUUUUGAAGGGCAUCCCUAUGGAGUGAAAAAGCAUUUGGCAAACCAUUUUACCUGCCUGUGUCUUGGUUUUCCCAGUCACCACACCCGCCUCCACCACAUCCCCCAAAUAAGGAAGCAAGAGUAGCUCAUCUUUCCGGUCUCUCUCUCUCUCUCUCUUUUUUUUCUGACAGCGAGGCUGCUGACAGGGGGCAGAACUUGGUAGUAAAAAAAAAAAGCGAAUGUUUGUCUUGGCUUCUCUCCAGGGAGAGGAUUCUCCCGGGUGGCUUUCCGAGGCGCUCAGAAAGGUAAAUAAAAACUGGAGUUCCGUGGACGACAUUAGCCUAGUCCCACACGGCACCGAAGGGAGACCACGGCCAUGCUCGCCACCUUGGAGGUUAGGACACCAAUCAGUACGGAGCCAAAAGUUUCUGCCGAAGCUUUGUGGGGCUCAGAGCGCUUUCGGCCAGCAGCCCUGUGGUCCGUUCCGGCACGCCUGAGGGAGUCCCAGUCUACUAGUCCUCUCCAAGGACGGAUAUACCCAACUGCUUUUUUCAGUUCCCUUUACAAUAUGGUCACAACUCAAAUUUGUGUGUGUGUGUUUAAUUAUUUCUAUCCCCCUCCCCCCCACUUUCAGACCGCCCCGCCAAAAUUUUCAGUCUGUCCUUCCCACUCCACGUGGACCUCCCUUCCCUGUCCCAGCAACCCCUGCGAGAGCCACCCCUAACACGUGGUCAAUUGUUGUGUUUCCUUCCUCAGGCUCCCACUUAGCAAGCAUCCGUUAGCCACUGAACAAAGGUGCCCUCUUGAGGAUGACUUUGGGGCAGCAGCCUAGGUUAUUGAGCGCUUAGAAACUAUGCAAUAAUGCUGCUUCAGCUUAAAAUGACUUCAUACCGCAUACUUCUCUGGUUAAUGACCUUAAGGAUUGGGGCUGGCGUUGCAGAGCAGUCAGAGGGCAAAGGCAGGGGAAUCUUCUGAGUUCGAUGUCAGCCUGGCUUACAUAGCAAGUUCCAGACCAACCAAAACAACAAAAUAAGUAACUUUAAGGAUUGCACAGAAGAGAAGUCAGACUUCAUGGUGUUGGGUCACGGGCACAGCACCUCUCUGCAUUGAAUGGACCGUUCCUAAAUGGCCUCCUUAACAACACUGGUCCCAGGUAAAGCGGACAUGAAUCUCCUUUACUGAUCUGAGAAUCAUCGCCUCAGUGAAUCCCAGCUCCUAACCUCAAUGUUCACACAGAAGACCUGCUUGGUUUCAAUUUUAUACAGGAGGAAGGAAGAGGGGAGAAUUCCGAGCAUCCUAAAUUUGUCCGCCACACAAGACAAGGGUAAGCAGGUCAAUCUCGGACUGGUUAUCUGUGCUCUCUUUAUUUAGUUCCUUGACUCCAUCCUUAUUGAAAGUCACUUCCCCCCAAACAUGUUUUGCUACAGCGAGGGAGCACUAGGAAUUUCCUGUGGCUAGGCAGCCCAGUGCCGGCAGGGGUGGAGGCAGAGCUAGGCAAUCCAGUCCUUCCCUUGGCUCGGGCAGGGCCACGUGCCCCACCCCCUCGCUUGCACAUGUCUCCGCCGCCACCGCCGCAACAGCCGGGCUGUUUAUGAGCGAGUUGUUGUGGUAGAAAUGGAGCAGGCUGCACAUGCCCGGGCCAUGUGACCCGGGCAGCCCGCGUGAGCUUCAAGACAGCACAAACACACUCGGCCCUGUCCUCCAGUGGCCGGAGGAACAGGCGGGAAGGAAGGGGGAAGAAGGGAAAGGCCACUGGGCCGUCUUGUUAUCUGCUGCCCUGUUUUCUGCUUAUGUCCUUUUUGUCUCUUUGCUGAGACGCUGAUAGCACAGUCAACAGCAAGUAAGCCUGGUUUCUCCAGGAUGCUCACUCCCCAAACAGCUCUUUGGCAUUUGCACCCACCCAGAGCCCAAAUCCCCCAAAUAACAAAGGGUCUCUCCAGGUCAGGAACACAGUAUAUCUCACCCCAGUCUCCUUAAGAUGUAUCGUCCCAUAGUCUCCAAGCUGAGACCUGGCUUUUCCUGGAGCCUGGGCUCCCCCCAACCAGGCUUCCCUUAUCCCCUCUUUCUAGGAAGGACGAUGUCACACAUUAGUGCAGCUAGUGCCCACUCCAAGAUUAGAACAAGGAGAAUUCAGCGAUUUACGAGCCGGGGACAGGAAGCUAAGAAUGUGUUUGCAGCGGGGGGUCUGUGGGUCCGGUGGAUCGGACGGGGAAGUCCCUUUGGUGGUGAGGAGGAGCUGGAGACCUAGAAAGGCUGUCACACCCGACUUCUGAAGAACAAGCAACGGGGGUAAAAGACAAGUUUAGCUUUCAUCCCUCACUAAAACGCCCCCCCCCCGCUUACGGCUCACAGGGACUGGGACCCCAGAGCCCCUACUUCCAGCCCACAGCUCCUGCCCCCUUGCCCACUGGUGACCUUGUUUCUGCACUGCAGUGCUAAGACUGCAGGAGUCAGGCGGACAGUAGGUUAGCAGGAACAAGCAAAUGAAAUGAGAGCGACCCACAUUUCCUCACACACCGAAAAACUUUGCAGCUUCUGCAUUGCAGAGCCGGUGCUUUUUAUUUAUUUAGUUAUUUAUUUAUUUUUUCAAAUCUCUCCACUGGGCCCCUACACACGUCUGCAUUUUUGCAACCCGCACAGAUUUUUUUUCCCCCUCCAGGGUGCAAACUGUGCAUUCUAAUGAGCCAAAGCUCCUUCCUGCCGCAUUGAAAAUUUCAUCAAAUCCUGUCCCCUCCCCCCACUUAGAAGAGUGGGAAGGAUCCUAAAUUUGUGAAGUAGCAUCUUCUCCCUCCUUCCCCUGACUCCCUUCCCCUCAUCAUACUGCAGACCUUCCAACCAACAGCUGCAACCAAGGGAGGAGGACCAGGAACGUGAGCCUUAUUCCUUCCUUCCUUCCACACAAGCUGAGCUAGCCAGGCAGGGGUUGCUUUCUUUUUUUUGUUUUUUUAUUUCCACCACCACCACCCUCCCCCCGCAGCCCACUACACCCUCCUUUCCCUCCGCAUCCCAGCCAGUGUUUAUGUAAGCCUCCCAGAAGCUACACAUGGCCCCCAGUGCUUGCCCAGGCCCCAGUUUCUCCAAAGUCCAUCCUUCUCACGAGGACUGUCAUGAGCUUCUGGCUUCCCUAAGCAGCUGCACAGAGAUCUGCCCAAAGAAGAGGAGACGCUGGAUCCGGAGAGGGUUUGAGGUGCAGCUUAGAAUGGAGAUGAGAAAGGCACAGAGACACCCUGCCUCCUCAUGCAUAUACACACCACAGGCUUCUCUGCACCUUAAUCCACAGGAUAGGCACGCAGCAGGGGCUUAGAAGACAGUAUCACCAGUGGGCUACAGGAAUAGUAUAGCAGGACAGGAGACAUCAGUAUGACAUGCUAGAUACUACGGUCUCCCUAGGUCUCCCUAGCUAGAAAGACGGACUCUUUACCAGAUAAAGGGUCAGCCGGUGUUUAUCUUACACUGCCAAGGACACUCUAUGCCACUUACAGGAUCCUGUGAUGUGACUUAGAUUCUGGGCUCAGAAGAGGUGACCCUCCUCUGAGUUCCCAGAGCAUUAAGGUAUCGUUGAUCCUGGAUGGUGGCUUUAAAGGUACACAUUUCUCAGGCAGGUAAAUGGGAGAGCCAGAUCAUCUUUCCUUUAGGGUCACGUCACAACUUCUGUCUUAAAUGUCCAG
rnacentral:sRNA from 1 species